rnacentral:rRNA from 1 species
CCUACGGGAGGCAGCAGUGGGGAAUAUUGGACAAUGGGGGGAACCCUGAUCCAGCGACGCCGCGUGAGUGAAGAAGUAUUUCGGUAUGUAAAGCUCUAUCAGCAGGGAAGAGAAUGACGGUACCUGACCAAGAAGCCCCGGCUAAAUACGUGCCAGCAGCCGCGGUAAUACGUAUGGGGCAAGCGUUAUCCGGAUUUACUGGGUGUAAAGGGAGCGUAGGCGGCAGGGCAAGCCUGAUGUGAAAGCCCGGGGCUCAACCCCGGGACUGCAUUGGGAACUGCCCCGCUCGAGUGCCGGAGGGGCAGGCGGAAUUCCUAGUGUAGCGGUGAAAUGCGUAGAUAUUAGGAGGAACACCAGUGGCGAAGGCGGCCUGCUGGACGGUGUACUGACGCUGAGGCUCGAAAGCGUGGGGAGCAAACAGGAUUAGAUACCCCUGUAGUC